ACGGGUGAGUAACGCGUGGGAAUCUACCUUUUGCUACGGAAUAACGCAUGGAAACGUGUGCUAAUACCGUAUGUGCCCUUCGGGGGAAAGAUUUUUCGGCAAAGGAUGAGCCCGCGUUGGAUUAGCUAGUUGGUGGUGUAAAGGCCUACCAAGGCGACGAUCCAUAGCUGGUCUGAGAGGAUGAUCAGCCACAUUGGGACUGAGACACGGCCCAAACUCCUACGGGAGGCAGCAGUGGGGAAUAUUGGACAAUGGGCGCAAGCCUGAUCCAGCCAUGCCGCGUGAGUGAUGAAGGCCUUAGGGUUGUAAAGCUCUUUCACCGGUGAAGAUAAUGACGGUAACCGGAGAAGAAGCCCCGGCUAACUUCGUGCCAGCAGCCGCGGUAAUACGAAGGGGGCUAGCGUUGUUCGGAUUUACUGGGCGUAAAGCGCACGUAGGCGGAUCGAUCAGUCAGGGGUGAAAUCCCAGGGCUCAACCCUGGAACUGCCUUUGAUACUGUCGAUCUGGAGUAUGGAAGAGGUGAGUGGAAUUCCGAGUGUAGAGGUGAAAUUCGUAGA
rnacentral:rRNA from 1 species